GAUGAACGCUGGCGGCGUGCCUAAUACAUGCAAGUCGAGCGAACAGACGAGGAGCUUGCUCCUCUGACGUUAGCGGCAGACGGGUGAGUAACACGUGGAUAACCUACCUAUAAGACUGGGAUAACUUCGGGAAACCGGAGCUAAUACCGGAUAAUAUAUUGAACCGCAUGGUUCAAUAGUGAAAGACGGUUUUGCUGUCACUUAUAGAUGGAUCCGCGCCGCAUUAGCUAGUUGGUAAGGUAACGGCUUACCAAGGCAACGAUGCGUAGCCGACCUGAGAGGGUGAGCGGCCACACUGGAACUGAGACACGGUCCAGACUCCUACGGGAGGGAGCAGUAGGGAAUCUUCCGCAAUGGGCGAAAGCCUGACGGAGCAACGCCGCGUGAGUGAUGAAGGUCUUCGGAUCGUAAAACUCUGUUAUUAGGGAAGAACAAAUGUGUAAGUAACUAUGCACGUCUUGACGGUACCUAAUCAGAAAGCCACGGCUAACUACCUG
rnacentral:rRNA from 1 species